rnacentral:hammerhead_ribozyme from 1 species
GGCUAGCAGACGAGUCCCAAAUAUGACGAAAUGCACAUCCUGGAU